rnacentral:rRNA from 1 species
UUGACCUGUGCUCAACACGAACGCAGACGGCGCGUUUAAGCAUGCAAGUCGAGCGGUAACUACCUUUCGGGGUAGCUAGAGCGGCGAACGGGUGAGUAACACGUAGAUNAUCUGCCUUGAGGUUGGGGAUAGCCUGUGGAAACACAGGGUAAUACCGAAUAAGCCCUAUGGGGGAAAGGUGCUAAGGCACCGCCUUAAGAUGAGUCUGCGGCUCAUUAGUUAGUUGGUGGGGUAACGGCCUACCAAGGCGACGAUGAGUAGCCGGCCUGAGAGGGUGGACGGCCACACUGGGACUGAGACACGGCCCAGACUCCUACGGGAGGCAGCAGCGGAGAAUCUUCCGCAAUGGGCGCAAGCCUGACGGAGCGACGCCGCGUGAACGAUGAAGGCCGUGAGGUUGUAAAGUUCUUUUCUUACUGAAGAAUAAUUACCCGAGGGAAUGCGGGUAAGAUGACGUUAGGUAAGGAAUAAGCCCCGGCUAAUUACGUGCCAGCAGCCGCGGUAACACGUAAGGGGCAAGCGUUGUUCGGAAUUAUUGGGCGUAAAGGGCGUGUAGGCGGUUUUACAAGUCUGGUGUGAAAUACCGCAGCUUAACUGCGGGGACGCGCUGGAAACUGUAAGACUAGAGUACAGGAGGGGGACCUGGAAUUCCUGGUGUAGGGGUGAAAUCUGUAGAUAUCAGGAAGAACACCGGUGGCGAAGGCGAGGUCCUGGCCAUGUACUGACGCUGAGGCGCGAAAGCGUGGGGAGCGAACAGGAUUAGAUACCCUGGUAGUCCACGGCCGCAAACGAUGUGCACUAGGUGCUUGGGGGUAACUUGAGUGCCGUAGCUAACGCGUUAGUGCACCGCCUGGGGAGUAUGCUCGCAGGG